rnacentral:rRNA from 1 species
GAUGAACGCUAGCUACAGGCUUAACACAUGCAAGUCGAGGGGAAACGACAUCGAAAGCUUGCUUUUGAUGGGCGUCGACCGGCGCACGGGUGAGUAACGCGUAUCCAACCUGCCCAUCACUUGGGGAUAACCUUGCGAAAGUAAGACUAAUACCCAAUGAUAUCUCUAGAAGACAUCUGAAAGAGAUUAAAGAUUUAUCGGUGAUGGAUGGGGAUGCGUCUGAUUAGCUUGUUGGCGGGGUAACGGCCCACCAAGGCAACGAUCAGUAGGGGUUCUGAGAGGAAGGUCCCGCACAGUGGAACUGAGACGCGAUCCAAACUCCUACGGCAGGCAGCAGUGAGGAAUAUUGAUCAAUGGGCGAGAGACUGAACCAGCCAAGUAGCGUGCAGGAAGACGGCCCUAUGGGUUGUAAACUGCUUUUAUAAGGGAAUAAAGUGAGAGUCGUGACUCUUUUUGUAUGUACCUUAUGAAUAAGGACCGGCUAAUUCCGUG